CCCGGACGGCAGCCUGAAAAUAGCAAAAUUGGCUUUGAAUAUGAUUAUACCUUUGGGGUCCAAACUGAGAUUGGCUAUUCCGUUGUUGAACAUAACAAUCGACCUGCAUUUGGUUCAGCUGUACUUCCUGGGGUAAUGGCACCUCAGCGAUGCAUGGGCUGCGCUAUUGAACCAAUAAUGAAUAUUGACCAAAAGGACGUACAAUCCCUUCAGAUGAUUGUGCAACCACAGUGUCCUGUCUUCAUUGAUGUCACUCUGAAAAAUGGAGAUCGAGUCUGUGUGGACUUGUUCCAGCCAUGGUUUAUCACUCUGCUGGAGAAGCUGGAAAUUCAAGCCCACUGAGGAAGAAGCCUUAAAUGUGAUAUUGU